GAUCAUGGCUCAGGAUGAACGCUAGCUACAGGCUUAACACAUGCAAGUCGAGGGGCAGCGGGAUUGAAGCUUGCUUCAAUUGCCGGCGACCGGCGCACGGGUGAGUAACGCGUAUCCAACCUUCCGCUUACUCGGGGAUAGCCUUUCGAAAGAAAGAUUAAUACCCGAUGGUAUCUUAAGCACGCAUGAGAUUAAGAUUAAAGAUUUAUCGGUGAGCGAGUGGGAUGUCGUUCC
rnacentral:rRNA from 1 species